rnacentral:rRNA from 1 species
CCUACGGGAGGCAGCAGUGAGGAAUAUUGGUCAAUGGACGAGAGUCUGAACCAGCCAAGUAGCGUGAAGGAUGACUGUUCUAUGGGUCGUAAACCUCUUUUAUAAGGGAAUAAAAUGCUCGACGUGUGGCAUUUUGUAUGUACCUUAUGAAUAAGGAUCGGCUAACUCCGUGCCAGCAGCCGCGGUAAUACGGAGGAUGCGAGCGUUACCCGGAUUUAUUGGGUUUAAAGGGUGCGUAGGCGGGCUUGUAAGUCAGAGGUGAAAUCCUGUGGCUUAACCACAGAAUUGCAUUUGAAACUGUGAGUCUAGAGUGUGGGUGAGGUAGGUGGAAUUCUUGGUGUAGGGGUGAAAUGCGUAGAUAUCAAGAAGAAUCCUGAUUGCGAAGGCAGCCUAC